GAAAUGCGAUAAGUAGUGUGAAUUGCAGAAUUCAGUGAAUCAUCGAAUCUUUGAACGCACAUUGCGCCCCUUGGUAUUCCAUGGGGCAUGCCUGUUCGAGCGUCAUUUGUACCCUCAAGCUCUGCUUGGUGUUGGGUGUUGUCCCGUCUCCGCGCGUGGACUCGCCCCAAAGUGAUUGGCAGCCGGCGUACUGGUCCCGGAGCGCAGCACAUGUCGCGCAAACGAGUGCCUUGGUACGGCGGCGUCCAUAAGCCCCUCUCUCACGCUCUUGACCUCGGAUCAGGUAGGGAUACCCGCUGAACUUAAGC
rnacentral:misc_RNA from 1 species